ACGGGUGCGUAACGCGUGGGAAUCUGCCCUUGGGUACGGAAUAACUCAGAGAAAUUUGUGCUAAUACCGUAUAAUGACUUCGGUCCAAAGAUUUAUCGCCCAAGGAUGAGCCCGCGUAAGAUUAGCUAGUUGGUGGGGUAAAAGCCUACCAAGGCGACGAUCUUUAGCUGGUCUGAGAGGAUGAUCAGCCACACUGGGACUGAGACACGGCCCAGACUCCUACGGGAGGCAGCAGUGGGGAAUAUUGGACAAUGGGCGAAAGCCUGAUCCAGCAAUGCCGCGUGAGUGAUGAAGGCCUUAGGGUUGUAAAGCUCUUUUACCCGGGAUGAUAAUGACAGUACCGGGAGAAUAAGCUCCGGCUAACUUCGUGCCAGCAGCCGCGGUAAUACGAGGGGAGCUAGCGUUGUUCGGAAUUACUGGGCGUAAAGCGCGCGUAGGCGGCUUUUUAAGUCAGAGGUGAAAGCCCGGGGCUCAACCCCGGAAUUGCCUUUGAAACUGGAAAGCUAGAAUCUUGGAGAGGUCAGUGGAAUUCCGAGUGUAGAGGUGAAAUUCGUAGA
rnacentral:rRNA from 2 species